GACGAACCGAGCGAACGUUGUUCGGAAUCACUGGGCUUAAAGGGCGCGUAGGCGGCUUGCCAAGUCAGGGGUGAAAUUUUGCGGCUUAACCGUAACAGUGCCUUUGAUACUGGCAGGCUAGAGGGAGACAGGGGUCCGCGGAACUUCUGGUGGAGCGGUGAAAUGCGUUGAUAUCAGAAGGAACGCCGGUGGCGACAGCGGCGGACUGGAUCUUUUCUGACGCUGAGGCGCGAAAGCUAGGGGAGCAAACGGG
rnacentral:rRNA from 1 species